rnacentral:rRNA from 1 species
CACGUUCAUCGUCCCUGGGUGAGUCGGGUCCUAAGGCGAGGCCGACAGGCGUAGUCGAUUGGAUGAAGGAGUUGAUAUUCUCCUACCAGUGUAUUCUCGACCAUUCCGAGGCUUACUGUACUAACCUCACACUUUCGUGUUUUUCAUCUUUCGGGGUGUUGAGCGUGUUGGUGUUUGGGAUCUUGGUUUGUAGUAGGACAGCACAGGAGUGACGCAUUGGGAUAGCUGACAUGUCAGGUGGUUUUGGCAUGGUAAGCACGCAGCCUGUGGGAUAGGUAAAUCCGUUCCACGUGAGGGUGAGGUGUGAUGCGCGCUGGUUUUAUACUGGUGUUUUGGUGAUUCUUGGUGUCAAGAAAAUCUUCGGUGUGAGAGGAUAUAUCUGCCCGUACCCUAAACCGACACAGGUGGUCAGGUAGAGUAUACCAAAGCGAUCGAGCGAAUCCUGGUCAAGGAACUCGGCAAAUUACUCCCGUGCCUUCGGUAUAAGGGAGACCCUUGAUGGUGAAACUCUUUACGGGUGGAGCUUUUGGGGGUGGCACAGACCAGGGGGUAGCGACUGUUUACCAAAAACACAGGUGCAUGCGAAGACGUAAGUCGCUGUAUAUGCACUGACGCCUGCCCGGUGCCGGAAGGUUAAGAGGAUCCAUUAACCCUUUUGGGGUGAAGUGGUGAAUUUAAGCCCCGGUAAACGGCGGUGGUAACUAUAACCAUCCUAAGGUAGCGAAAUUCCUUGUCGGGUAAGUUCCGACCUGCACGAAUGGCGUAACGACUUCCCCACUGUCUCGACCAGGAGCUCGGUGAAAUUGCAGUACGAGUAAAGAUGCUCGUUAAGCGCAGAAGGACGAGAAGACCCCGGGACCUUUACUAUACCUUGGUAUUGGCAUUCGGUGUGGAUUGUGUAGCAUAGGCGGGAGACUGUGAGGCCAGGGCGCUAGCUUUGGUGGAGUCGUCAAGUGAAAUACCGUUCUGUUUAUAUUGGAUGUCUAACCUCGAACAGUUAUCCUGUUCAGGGACAGUGCCUGGCGGGUAGUUUAACUGGGGCGGUUGCCUCCUAAAGAGUAACGGAGGCGCUCAAAGGUUCCCUCAGCCCGGUUGGUAAUCGGGUGUUGAGUGUAAUUGCACAAGGGAGCUUGACUGUGAGACUGACGGGUCGAGCAGGGACGAAAGUCGGAAAUAGUGAUCCGGUGCCGGCGUACGGACGCGGCAUCGCUCAACGGAUAAAAGGUACCCCGGGGAUAACAGGCUGAUCAUUCCCAAGAGUCCAUAUCGACGGGAUGGUUUGGCACCUCGAUGUCGGCUCGUCGCAUCCUGGGGCUGGAGCAGGUCCCAAGGGUUCGGCUGUUCGCCGAUUAAAGCGGCACGCGAGCUGGGUUCAGAACGUCGUGAGACAGUUUGGUCUCUAUCCUCUGCGCUCGUUGGAAUUUUGAGGAGUCCUGCCCAUAGUACGAGAGGACCUGGGUGGACGAACCUCUGGUAUGCCAGUUGUCACGCCAGUGGCAUGGCUGGUUAGCUACGUUCGGAAGGGAUAACCGCUGAAAGCAUCUAAGCGGGAAGCCCUCUCCAAGAUGAGAAUUCCUGACACUCCUUUGAGGGUGUGUGAGACUCCCGAGAGAUGAUCGGGUUGAUAGGCCGGGUGUGGAAGCGUGGUAACACGUGGAGCUGACUGGUACUAAUAGUCGAAGACAAUAACAC